UACAGAGGGUGCGAGCGUUAAUCGGAAUUACUGGGCGUAAAGCGUGCGUAGACGGUUGCAUAAGUCGGAUGUGAAAUCCCCGGGCUCAACCUGGGAAUUGCAUUCGAGACUGUGUAGCUGGGGUGCGGAAGAGGGAAGCGGAAUUUCCGGUGUAGCGGUGAAAUGCGUAGAUAUCGGAAGGAACAUCAGUGGCGAAAGCGGCUUCCUGGUCCAGCACCGACGUUCAGGCACGAAAGCUAGGGGAGCAAACAGG
rnacentral:rRNA from 1 species